rnacentral:rRNA from 1 species
AGUGGCGGACGGGUGAGUAACACGUAAGAAUUUGCCUUUAGGAGGGGGACAACAACUGGAAACGGUUGCUAAUACCCCAUAUGCUUUCGAGUGAAAUGGAUUUCCGCCUAAAGAGAAGCUUGCGGCUGAUUAGCUUGUUGGUAGGGUAAUGGCCUACCAAGGCGACGAUCAGUAUCUGGUUUGAGAGGACGAUCAGACACACUGGAACUGAGACACGGUCCAGACUCCUACGGGAGGCAGCAGUAGGGAAUUUUCCGCAAUGGGCGAAAGCCUGACGGAGCAAUACCGCGUGAGGGAUGACUGCCUAUGGGUUGUAAACCUCUUUUUUCAGGGAGGAAUAAAUGACGUGUACCUGAAGAAUAAGCAUCGGCUAACUCCGUGCCAGCAGCCGCGGUAAGACGGAGGAUGCAAGUGUUAUCCGGAAUCACUGGGCGUAAAGCGUCUGUAGGUGGCUCGGCAAGUCAACUGUUAAAUCUUGAAGCUCAACUUCAAGAUCGCAGUCGAAACUAUCGAACUAGAGUAUAGUAGAGGUAAAGGGAAUUUCCAGUGGAGCGGUGAAAUGCGUAGAGAUUGGAAAGAACACCGAUGGCGAAGGCACUUUACUGGGCUAUUACUGACACUCAGAGACGAAAGCUAGGGUAGCAAAUGGGAUUAGAUACCCCAGUAGUCCUAGCUGUAAACAAUGGAUACUAGGUGUUGA